AUGGCUACUGGAGCUGUUAAUGCUUCCGUUACAGCUAAGGCUCCAGCGUUAGCCCCUGCGCCUGGUAAGGGUUUUCCUAAGGCGGGAAAAACUAAUUCUUCUGCUGUAGAUGAUGGUAGUAGUGCUGGCAGUGACGAUGGUGAUGGAAAGGAUUUGCCAGCGGAAGCUUCUGCUGUAGGGCGUGUGAUGAUGUCGGUGAAUGUUGUUGUUGCUGUUGGAAUGUGUUUGGUUGGUGGAAUUGUUCUAUAA